rnacentral:lncRNA from 1 species
GACCAAAUAUGGGAAUGGUUUUCCACAAGAAUUUGCAAGACAACAAUGGAGUUUCUCUUGAUUCAAUGGGAGGAAGAAGAGAUUAUGUCUUGCAAUAUGUGGGAACCAUAACCCCCACUUUAUAACUCAUGAGGUACAAAACUCAAAAGUCACAAGCAUGUAACCAUGGUUACAUAUAUGUAACCUUAGUUAGCCCAUCAUUAACUAAGGUUACCCUUUUGGGUAUCUACACAUUAGUCCUACACUUN